rnacentral:snoRNA from 1 species
AAGCAGGAUUCAGACUACAACAUAGCUGUCAUGUGCUGUGUUGUUGUUCCCACUGCUCAGAUAAAGUGGUUUCCUAACUGUACCUGUCUGCUACACUCCUGUAGCAGCCAGGGACACUUGGUCUCAUACAU